CCCGCGGACCCGCGCAACUUCCCGGGAGCCGGGGCCAAAGUGAGCGAAAAGUGCUGCCCAAGUUCCCGGGAUGGAGCUGCAGAGCCGGCCCGAGGCGCUCGCCGUGGAACUCGCGCGCCACCAGAACGGCGACCUCGAGAAGCAGCUCCUCGAGAGGCAGCCGCGGAUCGCCGCGCUCAGCGACAAACAAAGUUGAGGAAUUUCUUCACGUCCUAUGGUUCAGAUUUCAUCAGAUCAGAGGAAGAUCGUGGCCACCCUGGGCAGGCAGAUUCCUGGAGAUGGCCUUUUCCAGUCAAGAGAUUUCUGAUCCACUGUGCUUGCUUCUGCCAAAUCCCCAGCCUUGGAAGCCAGCAGCUGGUGAAAAGCCAUUGUAUAUCGAUUAAUGCAUAUUUUUUCUAACUUCUUUUCCUCUUCUAUCGUUUCAUAACCAAGCUAUGCCAGGGCCUUGCUUUCAAUUUUUAAAGAGCCAAGGAUCAUUUUCUCAGACUAUUUUAAAAAUGAAGAGAAGGUUCCAACCAGA